GACGAACGCUGGCGGCGUGCUUAACACAUGCAAGUCGAACGGAAAGGCCCUGCUCUUGCGGGUUUGUCGAGUGGCGAACGCGGGAGUAACACGUGUGUAAACUGUCCUUGACUGUGUGAUAACUCCAGGAAACUGGGGCGAAUAUCCGGUAGGAGCUCCUGCUGCAUAGGGUGGGUUGGAGAGUGUCGGCGUUUGUGGAUGGUCUGGCGGCUUAUGAGCUGGUUGGUGGGGUAGGUGCGUACCACGGCUUUGACGGGUAGGCGGCCUGAGAGGGUGACCGGGCACCAUGGGCCUGAGAUAGGGACCAGAAUCGUACGGGCGGCAGCGGGGGAGAAUAUUGCACAGUGGGCGGGCGCGAGAUACAGAAACGCCGCGAGCGGGAUGACGGGUUUCGAGUUGUAAACCGAUGUCGACUGUGCUGAAGAGUGAGUGACGGUAACGGGUAAAGAAGCCACGGCUAACUACGUG
rnacentral:rRNA from 1 species